GCUUCCAAAAACACUAAAUUUAUACUUAAAUUGGGACCACACAGAGACGAUUAGCACAGACCCUGUGCAAGGGCUGAACACAAAUUCAUGAAGCAUUCCAUGUUUUU
ensembl:snRNA U6 U6 spliceosomal RNA